AACGAACGCUGGCGGCGGGGUUUAGGCAUGCAAGUCGCGCGAGAAAGUCUUCGGACGAGUACAGCGGCGUAAGGGUGAGUAAUGGUUAGUCAACGUACCUUCCAGACACGGAUAAUUCGCCGAAAGGUGUUGUAAUACGUGAUGAGACCACGUGCUGUAAGCAGCAAGGGGUCAAAAGUCGGGGAUCCUUCGGGACCCGGCGCUGGUGGAGCGGACUAGCUCUGAUUAGCUUGUUGGCGGGGUAACGCCCACCAAGGCGAUGAUCAGUAGCCGGGCUGAGAGGCUGUCCGGCCACACGGGGCACUGAGACACUGGCCCGACUCCUACGGGAGGCUGCAGCCGCGUAAUUUUUUCACAAUGGACGCAAGUCUGAUGAAGCCACGCCGCGUGCGGGAUGAA
rnacentral:rRNA from 1 species